UACGUAGGGACCGAGCGUUGUCCGGAUUCAUUGGGCGUAAAGAGCUCGUAGGCGGCCACUCAAGUCGAAUGUGAAACCUCGAGGCUUAACCUCGAGCCUGCAUUCGAUACUGGGCGGCUAGAGUCUGGUAGGGGGGAUCUGGAAUUCCUGGUGUAGCGGUGGAAUGCGCAGAUAUCAGGAGGAACACCGGUGGCGAAGGCGGCUACCUGGACCAGCACUGACACUGAGGCACGAAAGCGUGGGGAGCAAAC
rnacentral:rRNA from 1 species